ensembl:lncRNA
AUGAUUCCUUGUUUGGGAGGGUUGUGCUUUGAGAGUCAGUGCCUGAACAUCUUCCCGUGGGAAGUGCCGGUCUCGGGAGUGGUUUUCCUAGUCCUUACCUGGCUGAGCCUCGUGACAGGAGACUGCCACUUGCAUCCCUCUCCCUUAGUGCAGCGUGCAGAGCGAAUCCUGCAGGACUUCCCUGCACGUGCAGGGAAGAUGGAGGAGCUGGUUCUUCCGAAUCCCAGAGGCAAAGGGUUGCUGGGCCACCUGAGAAACAUGCUCAAAUCUCACCGCUUGCCUUUCCUGUCCUAUGCCCUUCCCUCACCAGGUUUCCCAUGGCUGUGUGAGCUUCCCCAGGGACACUGCAGCUGGUGGGGCUGCACCCUCCUGUUGUGGCCUUCCUGCUGGAUCCUGCGAGGGCCUUUAUUGCUUUCCUUCUUCUGCAAGCUGGCAACAGGGGUGACAAGUGUUUUCAGAGGCGGCAACUGUUUGACUACGUUCCUCUGGAAAGCCCCCUCUGACUUUUCUCUACCUGAAGACGUUCGGUUCUGCGAAUGGAAGACCAUCGCGCUAACCCCCAGCAGCCUCUGGUCUCACAUUAGCGCUCCUCUAAUCCAUUGCUCAGAGCUGCAUGGCCAUCCUUGGCAGCGCCUCCUUCCCCUUGCAGUCCCCAAAUCCGACAGGAUCCAGUGGAGCAGUCCCGGUGAGUUCAUGGAUAACCAUUUGCGUGCCACAUCUCAUCUGCGCUCCCCCAUUCGGAUGAAUGAAACCUUAAUGACAGCCCGAGUCGGGAAACCAAAUUGAUGAUGGGACCAAGGGCAUCCCUUGAUGGAGUGCAGCUCCCUGACAGCUCCUCUCGCUCAUCCAACCCUGCCAUAAGCGCUGUGCAUUACACCCAGACAGAAAGGACCAAAAGAGCCAAGGACUCGCACCGUUUUAACCCACCAUUUUUAUUCUUCUAUUCGGAAUAUUCCUCUGAAGUACAAUGUCCCUGUUGGUAAUGAGAACACACACACUUGGAACGAUCGGCUUGGGGUAAAUUGAGGGCAAUGCAGAUAUCUGAGGAAGAGUCAUAACCACCCUCUGAGCUCCUCUGGUAUCUAGGCUGCAAUGAACGUUUUGAAUUCAUGGCAUUAAAUAACUGGGCAAGCUCUGUUGCAAAGUUCACCAGAAGUGGACUGGAGCUGUUGCUGAGAUUUUCAUUUUUUAUGGCGAGCUCAUCCUUUUUUCUCUCGCUUCCUGGUUUUGCUCGGCCUUCCUCUAUACUUGACUCUUCUCUGUUGGAAGCUGCGGCAGGAUUAGCUGGUACCGCUUCUCUGCAACAAUGAGAAUGGCUUUCAGCAAAGAGUACUCACUGCUAGGAAGGAAGAGUCCAGUUAAAAAAAGUUUACAGCAGACGUCUCAACAGCUCACCAGGCACUCCAUGCUACUAUCACUACACAUGCUUUGUUGCUAAAAUAUAGAAAAUAUAAAGAAUGUCGGAAAAGAACAACUCACCGUUUUCUCUUCCUCAUCAGGAAAAUAACUAUACAUGUCAGCACUAGCCCAAACAAUACGGAACCCGAGACUGCAGCAGGGAGGACCAAACGAUGCUUUUCUACGGCUUUAUGAUCUGCAGCCUCUGCACCUUUGUCACCACCAAGACCUGGUGGUGGAAAGGAGACAAUCCCAUAUAUCACUGGGUUCUGCAGUAAUGAUAAUCUCACUGUGUGGCUGGGAUUCCCAGGCACUUUUACAUUCCCUGUUGUUACUAUCGCUGAUUCUGGUGUCUUGGCACCGGCGGACAAUAAAGUUCAUUUACACUUCUCUUGGGCA